rnacentral:lncRNA from 1 species
AGAGCACUCGUUUUCAACCAGAGCCCAGAAACAGCCGUUGUCCCCUGGCAAAAGAGGCCCAGUGCUGAGCCCUGGGCAAGUGUCUCCAGACAUCCCUACCUUUCUCUCCCUUUAUUAAGUCUUCUUUCCCAACAGAACCCAUUUCCUUUGCCACUAAAACUAGGUUGCAUCCAAAAGUUUCUCACAAGCUUAAAAAAGAAAAAUUGACACCAUUAUGCAGAAGAAUUCACAAAAGCUGCAGAGCGCCAGGGCAGAGAAGCAGCGUCAGACACAGAGCCCUCUUUUUCUUUGCAGGCCCAGGACACACAGGACGGAUGUUUCCAAGUCACUCCAGGGACAGCAUGAGGCUCUCGCUGGCCUGUGUCUCAGAAGCUGCUUUCUCCACCUCUUCCUUGUGAAUUUCCUAAACUCUCUACCUCUGGUUCAUGUUCGCUCUUCUGGAUAGUCUGUGUGCAAUGAGCCCUUAAAGGAAUAUUGCAAUGAGCUAUAAGAGUUGUGAGCCUGCGGUAGGCAAGGCCUGCACUGGGACAGCAAAGGAAAUUUCAUUGCAUCUGCUCCUAAGUCACAGGUUAUCCAGAGCCCACUUUACCCCAAGAGACAGCCUCUCCCCCAUCCCUAGGAAACAGUAGAGCUUAGGAAAAUGAAUGACUCCACCACAUUCAAGAGGCUUCAAAUUGUAUACUUGGCAUUUCUGAUUUCAGUUCUGAAAUUCUGUCCCUUAGUCGUGGGGAAAAUAAGAAAUGGAGUUACACCUUGUCAUUUAAAAAACCAUUGAAUUAAGAGAAAUGGAAAAUCAUGCCCACAUAAAACAUGUAUGGAAGUGUUCAUGUUUUGAUCAUGGCGGGGGAUAUAGCUCAGUCAUGGAGUGCUUGCAUAGCAAUGUGCAUAAUCCGAGGUUCAAGCCCCAGCACCGAAAAAGAGAAGCGGGAGGAGUGGAGGCAUUCACAGCAGCGUUUUCAGUAUAGGCGCAAAGGGGAAGGAGUUUAAACACCUACUGAGGAAUGGAUAAGCGGAGUGCCUUGUCUAUACUCGGGAUGCUAGUCAUCAGUAGAAAAGUUUGAAAUGAUAGAUACGAUGGAUGAUCCCUUAAACAUCUCCCUAAGUAACGAGGUCAGCCUAGGAAGGCGUAUGUUCCAUAUUUCUGGGAUAUAUGGGCUCACCGAUGCAGAAAAAAGUACAGCCUGGUAUCCUGGAUUGGAGACACGGACUGGACUUUGGAAGACAACAGAAUGGAACAGAAUUUACUUGAGUGGCGAUGUUCUUGAAUGAACGGAAGUCAUGCUUGCCCACUUGAUGACUGCAUUUACAAACCACUGAAUUUUACUUUUAGUGGGUGAAUUGCAUGGUACCUUCAUUUUAAUCUCAAUAAAGCUGCGAGUAUUUUUAAGAGAUUUCUAAA